rnacentral:tmRNA from 1 species
GGGGAUGUUCUGGCUUCGACGCUGGUGAUGAAACUCAAUGAUGCAUGCCGAGAGCGCAUUAUCUCUCGUAAAUCAAUCUUGCAUUUUCAUAGUCGCAAACGACGAAACCUACGCUCUAGCAGCCUAAGGGCUGCUUGUCCGACGCACCAAAUAUCUGUGGU